rnacentral:lncRNA from 1 species
CUGUCCAUCAGCUCAGAUGCCCUUUCAACUUCCUUCUCCUGCCACCCAGAAGCAAUGUCCUUGCCUUCCACAGAGGAUGCCUCUUUCAAGGAUAUUGCCCUACAGCUCCAUACCAGGUCGAUGAUUUAAGCCCAAUUCUGUGAGAAAAGUCAUAUGUGUCAGACAAUGAAUCCUACCCUAGCCACUAUCCGGAACACGGAGCCUAGAAGGACACCAUGGCAAAAGAAGAGGAAGAUGGUGGAGGACAGGAAACUGAUAUAUUUCAUAGGGCUUUGCUUAGGCAGCCAGAACUACUUCCACACUCCAACCUAAGCUAAGGAGGGGUUAGGCCUAUGGGAACUCCAAUAAGCACUAAAUGUUUCUGCCAUGUAAUGGAAUAGUUGAAAUCAGAUUAUUAAAAUUCCAAAGCUCU